rnacentral:rRNA from 1 species
UAGGGAAUAUUAGUAAUGGGCGAAAGCCUGAACUAGCAACGCCGCGUGUGCGAAGAAGGCCUUCGGGUUGUAAAGCACUUUUUGAGAGGAUGAGGAAGGACGGUACUCUCAGAAUAAGUCUCGGCUAACUACGUGCCAGCAGCCGCGGUAACACGUAGGAGGCGAGCGUUAUCCGGAUUUACUGGGCGUAAAGCGCGUGUAGGUGGUUUGGUAAGUAGGGUGUGAAAGCUCCUGGCUCAACUGGGAGAGGCCGUUCUAAACUACCGGACUAGAGGAUGGUAGAGGGAGGGGGAAUUCCGGGCGUAGCGGUGGAAUGCGCAGAUAUCCGGAGGAACACCGGUGGCGAGAGCGGCCUCCUGGACCAUUCCUGACACUCAGACGCGAAAGCUAGGGU